rnacentral:rRNA from 1 species
GAGUUUGAUCCUGGCUCAGGACGAACGCUGGCGGCGUGCUUAACACAUGCAAGUCGAACGGAAAGGCCCCUUCGGGGGUACUCGAGUGGCGAACGGGUGAGUAACACGUGGGUGAUCUGCCCUGCACUUUGGGAUAAGCCUGGGAAACUGGGUCUAAUACCGAAUAGGACCGCAUGCUGCAUGGUGUGUGGUGGAAAGCUUUUGCGGUGUGGGAUGGGCCCGCGGCCUAUCAGCUUGUUGGUGGGGUAAUGGCCUACCAAGGCGACGACGGGUAGCCGGCCUGAGAGGGUGUCCGGCCACACUGGGACUGAGAUACGGCCCAGACUCCUACGGGAGGCAGCAGUGGGGAAUAUUGCACAAUGGGCGCAAGCCUGAUGCAGCGACGCCGCGUGGGGGAUGACGGCCUUCGGGUUGUAAACCUCUUUCAGUAUCGGCGAAGCUCCGGGGUUUUCUCUGGGGUGACGGUAGGUACAGAAGAAGCACCNGCCAACUACGUGCCAGCAGCCGCG